GUGAAGAACGUAGCGAAAUGCGAUAAGUAAUGUGAAUUGCAGAAUUCAGUGAAUCAUCGAAUCUUUGAACGCACAUUGCGCCCGCCAGUAUUCUGGCGGGCAUGCCUGUUCGAGCGUCAUUUCAACCCUCAGGGCCCUUUUGGACCUGGCGUUGGGGCUCGGCCGCUACCCUGCGGCCGUCCCCGAAAGAUAGUGGCGGUCUCGCUGUAGCCUCCUCUGCGUAGUAGUUACAUCUCGCACUGGAACGAGGCGCGGCCAUGCCGUUAAACACCCCACUUCUCAAGGUUGACCUCGGAUCAGGUAGGAAUACCCGCUGAACUUAAGCAUAUCAAUGCGGAGGA
rnacentral:misc_RNA from 1 species